rnacentral:rRNA from 1 species
CACGUAGGGUGCGAGCGUUGUCCGGAAUUAUUGGGCGUAAAGAGCUCGUAGGCGGUGUGUCGCGUCGGCCGUGAAAACUUGCAGCUUAACUGUGGGCGUGCGGUCGAUACGGGCAUCACUGGAGUUCGGCAGGGGAGACUGGAAUUCCUGGUGUAGCGGUGGAAUGCGCAGAUAUCAGGAGGAACACCGGUGGCGAAGGCGGGUCUCUGGACAGUUCCUGACACUGAGGCACGAAGGCCAGGGGAGCAAACGGGG